UCAACGGCCCUUUUCAGGGCCAACAAAUGCUCAUUAAUAUCACUU
rfam:Rhodnius prolixus Rhodnius_prolixus-3.0.3-192.25, whole genome shotgun sequence.